AUGAAGCGAAAUACUAACUGUAUGACGCUGGGCUUAUCUAUGUGUGUUUUCUAUCCAUACAGAGAUAGCUGAAAAUUCCUCCUGAGUCUAAACAUAUAAUAGGGUUAGUAAUGUCAACAGGAAAUCUGGUAUCAGGACCAAAUUGGCUCAAAACCAACCAGCCAUUUCUAAUGCUUGUGCAGUGUUUGGGCUUUGCGUUCAAAGUAGCCCAGUUGUAAGCUCGGCUCCAUAUCAUGCCAGAGACGAUCUCACGAAGCGUGAGCUGUGCCUGUGCUCUGGCAGCCAGAUUUGGAUGAGCUCAUCGGCAUCAUUCCAGGGCGGUAUGUUGGCCAGACGAAGUGCAUUUGACAGGUUUUGGCUAUUCGGGCGAACUUGGAACGUGAGAGCCGGACCUACCACGCUGCAAACAGAAGUUAACAGUCAUGCACCCAAAAUUAGGACAAGCUACAGAAACACAUGGAGGGAGGGAGAAGGUUAGUGGCAGAGUCGAGGAUCAGGGGGUCAGGGUGCGCCAGAGAUGAGCUUGAUUCAUGCCAUUCAUUCGUUGCCACCCAACGGUUCUCCACCGCACUGCAGACCACAGCAAAGCUGCAGGAGCCUCUACACUGGCCUCCUCUUUAAUAUUGUUGUUCUGUGAAGAUCCACCAGUCUUGGGAUCCUCC